GUGAGUUGGUGUGUGGCCAUCGGUCCCGUAAGGGACUGAGGAAACUCCGCUCACACGCAGAAAUGCAGUCCUCUGGACAAACCGAGAGGUUUGGCAACGGAGCAGAAACGAAACGUCCACCCGGAAUUGGCUAUGACGCAUUUGUGAUGCCGAGUCCGCUGGGCUGGAAACGGUGAAACGGCCGUCCUGCAUGUGGAAAGGGCAAACGGUCGCCGAUGACGACUCUGCCGGAAGGCGCGGGUAGCCCGAUUAGCCGAAUGCCACAGAUAACAGAAAGCGGGUUACGGCCAAAACAC
rnacentral:RNase_P_RNA from 1 species